rnacentral:rRNA from 1 species
GACGAACGCUGGCGGCGUGCUUAACACAUGCAAGUCGAACGGAAAGGCCCUGCUUUUGUGGGGUGCUCGAGUGGCGCACGGGUGAGUAACACGUGAGUAACCUGCCCUUGACUUUGGGAUAACUUCUGGAAACUGGGGCUAAUACCGGAUAGGAGCUCCUGCUGCAUGGUGUGGGUCGGAAAGAAUCGGCGGUUGGGGAUGGACUCGCGGUGUAUCAGCUUGUUGGGGGGGUAGUGGCUUACCAAGUCUCUGAUGGGUAUCGAGCCUGAGAGGGAGACCGACCACAUUGAGACUGAGAUACGGCCCAGACUCCAACAGGGGGCAGCAGUGGAGAAUAUUGCACAAGAGGCGGAAGCCUGAUGCAGCAACUGCGCUUACGGGAAAACGGCCUUCGGGUUGUAAACCGCUUUCGCCUGUGACGAGGCGUAAGUGACGGUAAUGGGUAAAGAAUCACCGGCUAACUCCGUG